rnacentral:tRNA from 1 species
ACCUGGCUGGCUCAGUCUGUGGAGCAUGUGACUCUUGAUCUCGGGGUCGUGGGUUCAAGCCCCAUCUUAGGUG